UACGUAGGGCGCAAGCGUUGUCCGGAAUUAUUGGGCGUAAAGAGCUCGUAGGUGGUUUGUCGCGUUGUCCGUGAAAACUCACAACUCAAUUGUGGGCGUGCGGGCGAUACGGGCAGACUGGAGUACUGCAGGGGAGACUGGAAUUCCUGGUGUAGCGGUGGAAUGCGCAGAUAUCAGGAGGAACACCAAUAGCGAAGGCAGCUCGCUGGGACGUUACUGACACUGAGGCGCGAAAGCGUGGGGAGCGAACAGG
rnacentral:rRNA from 1 species